GAUGAACGCUGGCGGCGUGCUUAACACAUGCAAGUCGAACGAAGCACUUUAUUACGAUUUCUUCGGAAUGACGAUUUAGUGACUGAGUGGCGGACGGGUGAGUAACGCGUGGGUAACCUGCCUUAUACAGGGGGAUAACAGUUGGAAACGGCUGCUAAUACCGCAUAAGCGCACAGUACCGCAUGGUACAGUGUAGAAAAACUCCGGUGGUGUGAGAUGGACCCGCGGCUGAUUAGCUAGUUGGCAGGGUAACGGCCUACCAAGGCGACGAUCAGUAGCCGGCCUGAGAGGGUGAACGGCCACAUUGGGACUGAGACACGGCCCAAACUCCUACGGGAGGCAGCAGGUGGGGAAUAUUGCACAAUGGGGGAAACCCUGAUGCAGCGACGCCGCGUGAACGAAGAAGUAUUUCGGUAUGUAAAGUUCUAUCAGCAGGGAAGAUAAUGACGGUACCUGACUAAGAAGCACCGGCUAAAUACGUG
rnacentral:rRNA from 1 species